rnacentral:rRNA from 1 species
AAUGAACGCUGGCGGCAGGCCUAACACAUGCAAGUCGAGCGGAUGAAGGGAGCUUGCUCCUGGAUUCAGCGGCGGACGGGUGAGUAAUGCCUAGGAAUCUGCCUGCUAGUGGGGGAUAACGUCCGGACACGGGCGCUAAUACCGCAUACGUCCUGAGGGAGAAAGUGGGGGAUCUUCGGACCUCACGCUAUCAGAUGAGCCUAGGUCGGAUUGGCUAGUUGGUGGGGUAAAGGCCUAACAAGGCGACGAUCCGUAACUGGUCUGAGAGGAUGAUCAGUCACACUGGAACUGAGACACGGUCCAGACUCCUAAGGGAGGCAGCAGUGGGGAAUAUUAGACGAUGGGCGAAAGCCUGAUACAGCCAUGCCGAGUGUGUGAAGAAGGUCUUCGGAUUGGAAAGCACUUUAAGUAGGGAGGAAGGACAGUAAGUUAAUACCUUGCGGUUUUGACGUUACCAAAAGAAUAAGCACCGGCUAACUUCGUG